rnacentral:rRNA from 1 species
UGGGGAAUAUUGGACAAUGGGCGAAAGCCUGAUCCAGCCAUGCCGCGUGAGUGACGAAGGCCUUAGGGUUGUAAAACUCUUUCGUCGGGGACGAUAAUGACGGUACCCGAAGAAGAAGCUCCGGCUAACUUCGUGCCAGCAGCCGCGGUAAUACGAAGGGAGCUAGCGUUGUUCGGAAUCACUGGGCGUAAAGCGCACGUAGGCGGAUUGUUAAGUCAGAGGUGAAAUCCCGGAGCUCAACUUCGGAACUGCCUUUGAUACUGGCAAUCUCGAGUCCGGAAGAGGUUAGUGGAAUUCCCAGUGUAGAGGUGAAAUUCGUAGAUAUUGGGAAGAACACCAGUGGCGAAGGCGGCUAACUGGUCCGGUACUGACGCUGAGGUGCGAAAGCGUGGGGAGCAAACAGGAUUAGAUACCCUUGUAGUCCCUGAGCGGGCUGGCAAGGCGCAU